AAGUCUGCAACCCCAUUCACAAGUGUGUCUGGGAAAUAUAAUUUCUAGACUUCCAUCACCAGAAAAUCUAUUAAAGACCACUAAAGGGCCGUGGUGCUGUGUGCCAACCCCACUCUCUGGCAAAACUGGGUCAAGGAAACCACAGGCAUUCGGCCUCCAGAGGGGCGAGGCUCUUGGAUCCAGGUGAAUUCUCCAACCACUGCAGUACUCUCCAAGCAGAGCCUCUCCUGCCCCCUUCAGUGUCUUCCUUCUUUCGGGCUCUGGAAGGAGGGAUCGAAACCACUGUUAGCAAGUUGGGGAAGGAGAAGUAGAAGCACAAAAAAGAGAAGGAAAAGCUGCAUGUUCAUUUCAUAUUGCAGCCUGAUGCAGACAUGAACUAGGUGUGGGGGCAGGAGGGAAGGGGACGCUUUAGCUUCAAUGAACUUGGAACUUUGGACUAUUACAUGAGAGGGAACAUUUUAAGUCCUGGACAGAGGCUGUUUUCAUAAUCGGAACUUAAAGGAGAAAUUUUUUGUUACCCGAGAGUGAUCAGAAAGUCAUGAGACUUGGCAGAGAUUUUAUCCAAGGGACAGGGAGAAGCUACCUGCAAAGCAGGUUUGGUGAUUGAAUGGGCAAACUGAAUUUAGCAUGCUGUCAUGGAGAUGGAUUAUAAGAUUUCCCUCUUAUGCUUUUUUCCUUAGUUUUUAACUGUGAAAUUAUUUUGCCCAAAUCACUCUUCCUUUCCCACUUUUAGCUUUCUUUCAAGAGGUGUGUUUCUUAGUUCUCCGGAAUUGUGCUAGCUCUUUUUGCCACCACCUGGUUAAAUCAGUACAGCAGGGGUGAGGGACCACCCCCAUCUUUAGAGAAGAGGGAGGUGAGGAUGUGGGACGCUAUGCUGCUUCUCAGGCCCCGGCAGCUGGAGGUGGUAGAGCUGAACUCUGAGUCAGAUUCUGGAUGUCCCAAAACGUUACCAUUCUUGUUACUUAUUGCCAGAGGGACCUCAUAAAAGACAGAGCCGACCUGAAGCGUCCUCACUCUCCCGCGGCCUGGGGAGGGGCCCUUAAAGCACUCCGGCAUGCCUGUUAGAUUCUUGGUGCAGCUUUAGCAGCUGGUGAGGCAUUUCUGCCUAUUUCCUCCCUCCCUCCUCUCUGCACCUCUUUCUGUGUCAAGUACCUGUUCGUCUCCAUUGCUGAUGAACUGAAAUCUGGCGAGUGACCAGAUCUGAUGCCCGUCAGUCCUUUGUUUUUGAUGACAUGCCUUUAUUGGUUUGCUGGUUGGCAAGCCUGACCAGACGACGUCCGGGGGGUGGGUGCGCAGGAGCCCCGCGCUGGUGCGGACGCGGGCCUGGAGCGCGCGCUGUCCUGGUCAGGAGGGCCCUGGGGACGCGACAGCCGCAGGGGGCCCGCGCGCUCCGGACGCGUGGCGGGGACGGAGCAGCUCCGGGCGUCCCCCCGCGCGCCGCCUCCAGAACCUGCAGGGAAAGCGGCCGCCGCUGCGCUGUCCCGCCAGCGCCCCCUGCUGACAGCGCUCGGCAUCGCGCUGCUCUAAGAGGGACGCGCGAGUGGGGUCCGCAGGUUUCUGCAGAGCAGGUGACAGUGAUGCAGGGGUUCGGAGCCGAGAGGAGAUCACUUGAGAGCCUGUACCCCGGCCUUCCAGACUCUUCCCUGGCGCCCCUCCCGCUCACUCCUCUUCCCACCCCACCCAAAAUAACCAUUAACCUGACCCUUUAUGGUGAACACGUCUUUGCUUUCCUUUAUAGUUUUUACCACCUACCCAUGCAGCCUUCAACACUAUGGUUUUUGUGUAUUUUUUAAAGACUUUUUAAAGUUUUUGUAGAAAAUCAGAGAAAAGAUUAUUUCAUGUGUUUGGCUUCCUACGCUCAACAUUUUGUUUUGAGAUUUGUUCUUCUUGUGUGUACGUGUAGGUCAUUGGUGCUCAUGGUUUCAUAAAUUUGGGGAAGGGGGCGGUGUAUAAAACUAGAAGUGGAGUUGCUGGGGCAGAGGGCAUGCACAUCUUCAAAUUUAGUAGAUAAAGCCAAGCGGUUCUCCAAAGUGGUUGUACUGAGUGUUCUUGGUGGCAGUGUACAUGAGUUCCCAUCACUCUACAUCCCUGUCAACACUUGGUAUUGUCAGUCUUUUUAAUUUCAGCCGUUCUCUUCAGUAGGCAAAGUUAUCUCAGUGGAUUUAAUCUGAGUGGCUCUGAUGACUAAUGAGGUGGACAACUUUUAUAUGUUAACUGGUCAUUUAGGUUUCAUCCUUUGUGAAGUGCCUGUUCACCGUGCUUGCCCAUUUUUCUUUUGGGUUAUUUGUGGUUUUCUGAUUGAUUUGCAAUUCAUUUCAAUUAUAUGUAUUGCAAGUGCUUUCUCCCCCCUCUGUGUUUCUUUUCAGUCACUAGUAUAUUUUUGGUUGAUUUCCUCCUAUAUGUUUUCUUUUGAUGAACAAUUUUUUUUUUUAAAUGUAGUCAAAUAAAGCAAUCUUUUCUUUUC